UUCUGUACAUGAGUCUGAGUCUGUGGUUUUAGCAGAGUGUUCAGAGUCCAUGGCUGCUCUCAGACCACACCCAGGCCUUUCUCAUCUCAGUACAAGGAGGAAGAAUGAGAGUGAAGGUUCAAAUUUGCCACUUCCCAAUAACUGGCCCACAGACAUGUUUGUACAAGCCUUUCUGUCAUCUUUAAGAAGGGAUACUGAUCUGACUCAAAGCAAGUGCUCAGUUAAUGUGCUCAAUACAUCAUUACUGUUGUUGUUGUUACUAAAAGACAGUCACGAAAAGGAACCAAAACCUGAGCUUCUGAAUGGCAGACGUCAAGGGAAGAAGGCACAGAAGUUGACAGCUCAAAAUGCUGAGGCACCCAGGAGACGAUUUGGAAGCAGCAGAGAAACCUCCCUCAGUUCACACAACCAGCUGGAGCCUGGAGCAGCUUGGACAGCCCAGAGUCAAGCCUCUCUCACAGGAGAGGCCCUGGCAGGAGCCACACUGCUGCCUGCCUGCCCGUGCUGUGGAACCUGCUGGGAUCUGAUUACCCAUCUCCUUAUCUCUAACUCCCUUCCAAGUUUCUCCUCCUUAGAGCCAGCACAGAUUUGGCUUUUCUCGGGGUCGGAGAUUUCAAAGAGAGAGAAAAAUAAAUAAAUAAAACAACUGC